rnacentral:rRNA from 1 species
AUUGAACGCUGGCGGCAUGCCUUACACAUGCAAGUCGAACGGUAACGGGUCCUUCGGGAUGCCGACGAGUGGCGAACGGGUGAGUAAUAUAUCGGAACGUGCCCAGUAGUGGGGGAUAACUGCUCGAAAGAGCAGCUAAUACCGCAUACGACCUGAGGGUGAAAGGGGGGGAUCGCAAGACCUCUCGCUAUUGGAGCGGCCGAUAUCAGAUUAGCUAGUUGGUGGGGUAAAGGCCUACCAAGGCAACGAUCUGUAGUUGGUCUGAGAGGACGGCCAGCCACACUGGGACUGAGACACGGCCCAGACUCCUACGGGAGGCAGCAGUGGGGAAUUUUGGACAAUGGGCGCAAGCCUGAUCCAGCAAUGCCGCGUGCAGGAAGAAGGCCUUCGGGUUGUAGACUGCUUUUGUCAGGGAAGAAAUCUUCUGGGCUAAUACCCCGGGAGGAUGACGGUACCUGAAGAAUAAGCACCGGCUAACUACGUGCCAGCCGCCGCCGUAAGAC